rnacentral:rRNA from 1 species
GACGAACGCUGGCGGCGUGCCUAAUACAUGCAAGUAGAACGCUGAAGAGAGAAGCUUGCUCUUCUUGGAUGAGUUGCGAACGGGUGAGUAACGCGUAGGUAACCUGCCUUGUAGCGGGGGAUAACUAUUGGAAACGAUAGCUAAUACCGCAUAACAAUGGAUGACACAUGUCAUUUAUUUGAAAGGGGCAAUUGCUCCACUACAAGAUGGACCUGCGUUGUAUUAGCUAGUAGGUGAGGUAAUGGCUCACCUAGGCGACGAUACAUAGCCGACCUGAGAGGGUGAUCGGCCACACUGGGACUGAGACACGGCCCAGACUCCUACGGGAGGCAGCAGUAGGGAAUCUUCGGCAAUGGGGGCAACCCUGACCGAGCAACGCCGCGUGAGUGAAGAAGGUUUUCGGAUCGUAAAGCUCUGUUGUAAGUCAAGAACGGGUGUGAGAGUGGAAAGUUCACACUGUGACGGUAGCUUACCAGAAAGGGACGGCUAACUACGUG